CCGGUGUGCUCUUUCGGCUGUGCAUGGCUCAAGACCUGACUGUGGAAGUCAGAUUUCGCUAUUUUCUUUUCGCCUCCCUACAUUGAUAGUCAAGUCCACGAUGCAGGUCUGAGCAGAACUUCCCUCCCGUCAGAGGUUGGAAGGGAAACUAGAGAAAGGCUGCAUUGCAGGAGUCCUGGCAGGGAAAGAACGUCUGAGCAUUGUAGAGGCUGGGCCGCCCCCUUGAGCCCAGUGCUCCCCGCACCCCCCACCCCGAGGUGAAAUGUGGCUCAAGAAAUAACGCCACAAUGGAUUGUUUUACUCAGAGGUUAUGAGGCAGGUGCCACUGUUGACUCCAUUUUAUAGAUGAGGAAGCCCAGUAGAGGGAGGUUAAGAAAGUCACCCCAGGUGACAAUGGCAAAGAUCUGCUGCCAGAGCCACCUUCCUAAAUGAGUAUCAGUCUCUCGGCUGUCGCCUGUCGGAUUAAUAACUGCUCCUCUACUGGAGAGAGCAGGGAAGAAGGGGCAGGAGCUCCUCUGAGCAGCCAUGGCACUCUGGGGGUUAGUGCAGACGUCUCAUCUUUUGUGGACCAACGUGGAAACUCCAUUCCAGCUUCCUGCCUGUGGCUAGGCAGCCUUGGAAGAAGAUGAGCUAUAGAAUUUUCCACAGCAGAAAGAGAGAAAUCAUCAGAAGAAACAAGAGCAUCAUCAAAUCAGUUUUAUUACCUGUCUCUUAGCAGCCUGUAGUACAACCCAAAAGAACUUUAAAACAGUCAUGCUGAUUCCUUCUGGCCUCCAUUGUUUCUGAUGAGAGAUGCGCUGUCAUUCAAAUAAGUUUUUUCCUAUAGAUGUGGUAUUGUUUUUCUCUGGUUGCUUUCAAGAUUAUUUUGUUUGUCUUUGGUUUUUAGAAAUUUGAUUAUUAUGUGUCUUGAUGUGGAUUUGAGUUUAUCUCAUUUGUAUUUCCCUCAGCUUCUUAAAUCCGUCGUUUUAUAUUUCUUGUUCUUUGUUCUGUUGCUUUUGUUCUGCUGUUGAGCCUAUAUAUUGAGGUUUUUUAUUUUAGUUAUUGUGUUUUUCAGUUCCAAAUUUCCUUUUGAUUUUUUAUUUACAUUGUAUUAUAUUAUUAAUUAAUUAUAUUAUUCUUAUAUUGCAUUGCCGAUACUUUCUGUUUCAUUACUGGGAUUUUCUCUUCUUCCAUUUGUUUCCAGCAUGUUCAUAAUGUCUUCGUAAAGCAUUUUGAUCAUGAUUGCAUUAAAAUCAUCAGGGACACCUAGCUGGCUUAGUGACUCUUGAUAUCAGGUCAUGACUUUGAGCCCCACAUUUGGUAUAGAGAUUACUAAAAAACAAAAUAAAAUAAU